GCGACAUAGAGCGGAACCCGAAAACCUAGUCUCAGUUCGGAUUGGAGUCUGCAACCCGACUCCAUGAAGCUGGAUUCGCUAGUAAUCGCGCAUCAGCCACGGCGCGGUGAAUACGUUCCCGGGCCUUGUACACACCGCCCGUCAAGCCAUGGAAGCCGGGAGUGCCUGAAGUGCGUGAGCGCAAGCAGCGCCCUAAGGUAAAACCGGUGACUGGGGCUAAGUCGUAACAAGGUACC
rnacentral:rRNA from 1 species